rnacentral:piRNA from 1 species
UUAUAGGAAAACAAAAACAAACAGGUGA